GCUGGCGUAGCUCAGUCGGUUAGAGCGCCUGAUUGUGGAUCAGGAGGUCGGAGGUUCGAACCCCCCCGCCAGUACCA
rnacentral:tRNA from 1 species